GACGAACGCUGGCGGCGUGCUUAACACAUGCAAGUCGAACGGAAAGGCCUGCUUUCCCUUGUGGAUUGCGGGUACUCGAGUGGCGAACGGGUGAGUAACACGUGAGUGAUCUGCCCCCAACUUGGGUAUAAGCCUGGGAAACUGGGUCUAAUUCCCGAUAGGACUGCAGGGUGGUGCCUGUGGUGGAAAACGAUUUUCUAGUGGUUGGGGAUGAGCUCGCGGCCUAUCAGCUUGUUGGUGGGGUAAUGUCCUACCAAGGCGGCGACGGGUAGCCGGCCUGGGAGGGUGGACGGCCACAUUGGGACUGAGAUACGGCCCAGACUCCUACGGGAGGCAGCAGUGGGGAAGAUUGCACAAUGGGCGGAAGCCUGAUGCAGCGACGCCGCGUGGGGGAUGACGGCCUUCGGGUUGUAAACUCCUUUCGACCGCGAGGAAGCCACCUGGUUGGAAGGGUGGUGACGGUAGUGGUAGAAGAAGCACCGGCUAACUACGUG
rnacentral:rRNA from 1 species